AUUGAACGCUGGCGGCAGGCCUAACACAUGCAAGUCGAACGAGUGGCGGACGGGUGAGUAAUGUCUGGGAACCUGCCCGAUGGAGGGGGAUAACUACUGGAAACGGUAGCUAAUACCGCAUACCAUCGGAGGUGCCCAUAUGGGAUUAGCUAGUAGGUGGGGUAAUGGCUCACCUAGGCCACGAUCCAUAGCUGGUCUGAGAGGAUGACCAGCCACACUGGAACUGAGACACGGUCCAGACUCCUACGGGAGGCAGCAGUGGGGAAUAUUGGACAAUGGGCGAAAGCCUGAUGCAGCCAUGCCGCGUGUAUGAAGAAGGCCUUCGGGUUGUAAAGGACUUUCAGCAGGGAGGCGUUAUCUGCAGAAGAAGCACCGGCUAACUCCGUGCCAGCAGCCGCGGUAAUUC
rnacentral:rRNA from 1 species